AAAUUAACUUCUGUCCUUUUAGUCUGGGCCAGUCUCCAGAUCAGACUUUUGGUUAACUGCUGUCAAAUAAAACCCAUAAGUGGAUAAUCCAAGCGAGAAUUCUGUUUGUGUGUGUGUUUCAGAUUUCUAAAUUUGGUGCCCUGGAACACUUGAGAGACUUCAAAUGGCCUUGGUGAUUUUUGUUUUUGUUUUUCUUCCACAAAAGUUGGUUUCAUCCACACCUGAGUUAAGGAACAAGUGAAGGAUGGCUUUGUGUUUGUAAAGCGCUUUGAAAACCUUGACUGAAGCACAGCAACAGAUAAAGGCUGAUCUUGAUAUCCUGGUCUCAAGUGAUCCUCCCACCUCAGCAUUCUAAAGUGCUAGGAUUACAGACAUGAGCUACUGCACCCAGCCAAUUGGAGGCCUUGCCCCAGCAGGUGGGGAAGGAAAUGCCAGCCAAGUUCCCACCACAUGCAGAAACCUGAGAGGGUGAACCCUACCCAUCAACACCUGGAGACCUUUUCCUGACUCUGGGACCCGCGACAGACAGAGUAGCCCCUGCAUGGGUGACUCCCUGAUUCCCACGAGGCCCCAGGGCUGCCGUGGCUCCUGCUGCUCCACAUAUUGUGGGGCACCUUGAUAGCCGAGGUUGCCUUAAGUUACCUCCAGCUUUGUUUCUGUCACUGCAAAUCAAAGAGCCCAGCCUAAAAUCCUCUGUAGCCUUCUUAUUUCCCCCACGGCAUGUGGCCACUCUCUACCCUCUCGCAAGCCUUGCCAGAGAUGCCAUCCUCCACUUCCACUGGGCACCUGGAGCCUGAACCUGGAAUCUUCCAAGACCCCAGAUCAGCCUCUGCUGACAGUUCUCUUGUAAAGAUACUGAGGAUAGGAUUACAGAGGCAGUCACACUUCUGAAGAUGACUUCGUGGACUGGAGACCAAUUGCAGGGCACCCUUGGGAGCCAUGAGCUGGACGGGACAGGGCAACAUGAUAUAAAGAGUCUGGGCCACUUAAGUUACCACUGGGGGAGAGUCUUCCCCUGAUUCAGGAAUACAUGGAUUGGAAUGGGGCAGCUGGCCCCAAAGAAAAUCUGUGAAAUGUUAAGACAUUGCUAAUUCAGUUA
rnacentral:lncRNA from 1 species